rnacentral:tRNA from 6 species
GGCGGCGUAGCUCAGUUGGUGAGAGCGACCGGCUCAUACCCGGUAGGUCGGCGGUUCGAGUCCGCCCGCCGCUACCA